UAGGGAAUCUCCCACAAUGGACGAAAGUCUGAUGGAGCAACGCCGCGUGAGUGAAGAAGGGUUUCGGCUCGUAAAACUCUGUUGUUAAAGAAGAACAUAUCUGAGAGUAACUGUUCAGGUAUUGACGGUAUUUAACCAGAAAGCCACGGCUAACUAUGUGCCGG
rnacentral:rRNA from 1 species